rnacentral:rRNA from 1 species
ACGGAGGGUUAGGGCUCGACCCCGGAGAAGGAGCCUGAGAAACGGCUACUACAUCCAAGGAAGGCAGCAGGCGCGCAAAUUACCCAAUCCCGACACGGGGAGGUAGUGACAAUAAAUACUGAUACAGGGCUCUUUUGGGUCUUGUAAUCGGAAUGAGUACAAUUUAAAUCCCUUAACGAGGAACAAUUGGAGGGCAAGUCUGGUGCCAGCAGCCGCGGUAAUUCCAGCUCCAAUAGCGUAUAUUAAAGUUGUUGUGGUUAAAAAGCUCGUAGUUGAACCUUGGGCCUGGCUGGCCGGUCCCCCUCACCGGGUGCACUGAUCCAGCCGGGCCUUUCCCUCUGUGGAACCCCAUGGCCUUCACUGGCUGUGGCGGGGAAACAGGACUUUUACUUUGAAAAAAUUAGAGUGCUCCAGGCAGGCCUAUGCUCGAAUACAUUAGC